GCACCACCCAGAUUGAUAAACUGGCUCAUCUGGUCUUGUGGUCCCCAUCCAGGAACUGACUCAGCUGCAGGAGGACAGCUUCAAUUCCCUAUGAGUUCAUCUCGGACCCAACCAAUCAGAGCUCUUGACUCACUGGCUUCCCCCUACCCACCAAGUUGUCCUUAAAAACUUUGAUCCCCGAAUGCUUGGGGAAACCAAUCUGAGUAAUAAUAAAACUCAAGUCACCUGCACAGCUGGCUCUGUGUGAAUUACUCUCUCUAUUGCAAUUCCCCUGUCUUGAUAAAAUGGCUCUAUCUAGGCAGCUGGCAAGGUGAAUCCAUUGGGUGGUUACAAUACCUCCCUUAGUAGACUAAAGAACAACUUGGAUAAAACCAGCAAGAAAUGGAUUAUAUCGAGGGAAAUUGUCAUGCCCAUCCAAGACCAUGAUAAGGAAUGAGGAAGUAACAUAAUGGAAGGAUUCUGUCUCUUCUCAUUGGGACUGACUCUAAGCACCUCUGAUUAGAUGUCAUUCUAUGUCUGGGAUGAUCUCAGGACUAUGGUAUUGUCCUCUUGUGCUAUCAAUUUUAACUCACAAAUGGAUGUCGAUGUCAUUUAUUCUCUUAUUCUACAGACCUUCAUUGGCUACAUGGGUAGUAUGGGCAAGAGAUAGGUGGUCCUGACGGAGGAGUGGGAAGAGCCAGUGCUCUGGAGUGGGAUUACUUUCUGGCUGCCUGCUCAGGAAAGUUGUUUCACCAUUCUCAACCUCAGUUUCCACAUCUGUAAUAUAUGGAAAUUAAUUUCUACCUCAUAGGAUUGUUACCUAAGUGAGAAGAUGCGCUCCUGUUUUCAAGCCUGAAUGUUGCAUUUUCCAAGACCACUGUGGCCUGCCACACUCCCCAUCCUGUGUCCAUACAAACCUGAGACCUUAGAGGGCACACCCACAAGUGGCUGCACAUUGAGACCAGCAGACCAGCAGACCAGCAGACUAGAAGACCAGCAGACCAGCAGACCAGCAGACUAGCAGACCAGCAGACCAGUGAUGGUGGAACAAUGCAGCAGAAAAAGAGAGAAAAGGAGAGACGUCUGGACACCGAGGGGAGUUCAGCCUGAGGUGGUUGGAGAAGAGUCCGCUCACUGGGCCCAACUCCAGAGGAAACCACAUUCCCACUCCAUCCCCCUUUCUGGCUCCCCAUCCAUCUUGCUGAGAGCCACCUCCAUCACUCAAUAAAACCUUGCUCUCAUCCUUCAA